GGCCGAGUGGCAAAAUGGUUACUGCGUUGCUUUCCGAAGGCAGAGACUGUGGGUUCGAGUCCCACCUUGGUCG